AUGCGUGUCAUAGCACGAGUGAUGCUGGGCAAGAACUACAGGGAGGCCUGGGAAGUGUUCAUGGCAGGAAGGGAGCAACUGAAGCUCGCCGCGUAUGCAUUUGCGGAUCCUCCAGUACCUGGAUUCAGGUACCUGCCGACACGUCGCAACCGUCGGACCUGGCAACUCGACAAGCUUGUGAGAAGCAAGAUUACAGAGAUCAUAAAGGCGCGGCUUGCUAGCAGUGUCUAUGGAGACGACCUGCUCGGGCAGAUGUUGUGGCUGCAGAGGUCGGGUGCUGGCGCCAACGCCGAGAACCUGAGCACGGAGGAGAUGGUCGGCGAGUGCAGGACCUUCUUCAUGGCUGGGUACGAAACCAGCGCCAACCUCAUUACCUGGGCCAUGUUCCUGCUCGCCAGCCACCCACGGUGGCAGGAGAUGGUCAGGGACGAGGUCGUCCAGGAGUUUCCUGCUCACAAGCCACCCUUAGGUGACGGCCUCGGCAAAUUGAAGCUGCUCAACAUGUUACUCUGGGAGACAUUGAGGCUCUAUGGCCCCCUAUCAUUCCUGCAGAGGAAGACAGCCUCAGACACAAUCCUCACACAUGUGAAGGUGCCGAAAGGAACGAUGAUAACGAUACCUCUGGUGAUGUUGCACCGGGACAAAGAGGUCUGGGGACCCGACGCCGACAAGUUUAACCCAAUGAGGUUCCAGAAUGGCUUCGCGAGAGCCGCCAAGCAUUCACAUGCACUGCUGGCCUUCUCGUAUGGGCCUAGGGUCUGUGUCGGGCAGAACUUUGCCAUGGUGGAGGUGCAGAUCGUCAUAGCGACGAUGCUCAAAAGUUUCUCCUUCUCCCUGUCCCCCACUUAUGUGCACAAGCCGAGCAAUUUCGUCACAUUGACGCCCAAGUACGGGCUCCCUCUCAUCGUGAGGAACCUGCAGCUGACUAGGUGA
rnacentral:rRNA from 1 species